AGAUUUCGAACGAAACGGGAAUUGAGUUUGAACGAGCGUAAGAAGUGAAAAAGGUACAGAGGUUCGUGAUCUGCCAGUGUAGGCCACACGUUCUGCUAUUACAGAGUGCUCCUUUUGAUCCGGAGCUCGUAUGUUGGUAUAUAUCUUUUAUGACGCAUAUGUUUGUGUACAUUUGACUAUUUGGGGGACGGCGGGGCCCUAUCCCGUCAUAUGAUUCAGUUAUGAUUUGUAGAGGCCUGUAGUCAUAUAUGUGGGUCAUGGGUCACGUGUGUGUUUGUUUGUGCAUGAUCUGCGUUUUAGUGCAGUUCCGGUUGCUAGUAUGGCCAAAACGGCCCAUUUGUCUGCACACGUAUAUGUACCUGGCGAUGUACAUUCCGCCAACCUAUCAGAUUUGGAUACGGCCAAAAUGGCCUGUAUAUUUGUAUAUGUGCAUAUGUACGGCGAUGUGUAUUCCGCCGACCCUUUUGAUUUGAUAUGAUAUUCUGUAUA